UACGUAGGGUGCAAGCGUUUAAUCGGAAUUACUGGGCGUAAAGCGUGCGCAGGCGGUUGUGCAAGACCGAUGUGAAAUCCCCGGGCUUAACCUGGGAAUGGCAUUGGUGACUGUACGGCUAGAGUGUGUCAGAGGGGGGUAGAAUUCCACGUGUAGCAGUGAAAUGCGUAGAGAUGUGGAGGAAUACCGAUGGCGAAGGCAGCCCCCCUGGGAUAACACUGACGCUCAUGCACGAAAGCGUGGGGAGCAAACAGG
rnacentral:rRNA from 1 species